AGGAGCCACGCCGCUGCCGCCUCCUCGGAGGCCGCCUCCACCGAGGCACAAUGCAGAGGACUGCACGCGCGCAGUCGUCGUCUACUACCGGUAGGUCGCCGCCGCCUCCGCGGAGGCCGUGUACCAGGAGGUCGCCUUCGCCGUCGCCUCCACUGAGGCCAUGUACCAGGAGGUCGCCUUCGCCGUCGCCUCCGCGGAGGCCAUCAACAAGGAGGUCGCCUUCACCGUCGCCUCCGCGGAGGCCGUCUACGAGGAGGUCGCAGUCUCCUCCGUCCAAGAAGUUGCAGUCUGCUCCCUCCAAGAGAUCGGCAUCUCCUCCGUCCAGCAGGAGGUUCUCCACUCGGUCCAGCCCUGAAGGUUUCAUAGACACACCUCAUGGUCGACAAGAUGGACAGGAGAAGCAAAAAGAUGACCAACGCAGGAAAUAAGCACCAAAAACUCUAGCAAUUCCCAGCAUCGGCAGACAAUACAUCUUACAGGACCAAAACCUUAUUCACAAGUUAGUUAUGAGCAGAGAAACCUAGAGACUGGUGAAGAGCCAGAUGGUUUGAUAUUUUGGAGGAGUACACGCACCAAGGAGGGCCGAUGGUCUUCUGAUGCUGCUAAGGAAAUAUAUGAAAGCGCCUUCUCUAAAAUGACAGAGAGAAUUGAGUUGGAAGCUUCUGUGAUUUCGAAAGAACAAGAAAGGCGUAUUCUUCAUGAAACCUACAAGGAAACCACUGGAUGCAAGAGCAAAAAAGGUCCUGGACAUGGAUACUUGGCAAAGUAUCCGACCCGAAGCCAACUUAUGAAUGAACAAAUUGAAGUGCAAACUCGUGCAUCUGCAUUAGCAGCAGCAGCCCAACAGAAGAAUAGUGAGAUGCAAGCUGAGGUAGAUAGCUUAAAAGAACAGCUUACCGUUCAAGCCGCUGAGAGAGUGAAAGACAAGGAACAAAUUGAGCAGCUGCAACAUCAACUGGAGAGUACAACUAGCAAGAUUAGAGAAGAACUAAGGCAAGAGCUUUUUUCACUAAUCAAACAACAAAAUCAAGCACUGCCUUUGCAAGAAUGUUGCACCAACCACAACAGUUCCUCAGCCUGUAGAAGCAGCCACUAAUCCUUCAGAAUUGACAACUAAUGCUACUGGUAUUGAAAAUAUGGUUAGUGGAAAUGAAGGUGCAGAUUUAGCACAGUUUAAACGCUAAACGAAGGGUGACCGACUGUUUACCGUUUAGCGUUUAGCCCUGUCCACACUUGAUGAACCUGCUGUUGUUCCCACUCCCAUCCAAGGAGCAGAACAUGUGCAAAAGAAUAUAGCAGACAAUGUAUUGUUGAGCAAACAGAACAAUAUCCAACCUACUAGUCGCCUCACUCGCAGCCAUGUCAACAAAUCACUUUUCGCAGGUGAAAAAGAUAAAGAUAGUAAUGAGACAGUGACAUUUAUUUCAGCACAAACACUUAGGAAUACUGCUGCAAAUAAAAAGCAAAAUUUCAGAAAGAAAUGAGGAAAGGAAGAUCAACCUUGAGUCUUGCCAAGCUGAAAUGAAUCAAAUAUUGUGCAACAAGGAAGAUGUCAUAUUUAUCUGUGCUAAGAGACAUGUUUUUUGUUGUUUAUGAUUGCUUAUUUGUAGCAUAAGUUAGUGGUUUGUAAUGCAGUUUAGCCUUGCAAUUACCUAUUUGGAAAUAGGAAGGCAUUAGACUUCCUUACAUUGUACAAACUAUUGAAUGCUUAUGAUCCAAGUUAUUAAUAUGAUUGACUUUUUGUGC